CUUUGCUCAGAUAAUUUAUAUAGGUUGUUCUUUCUUUAGUACCAAUGAAUAACUUGGUUACACGAUAUACUUGAAGACUGUAGUAGGAACAAAAUGCUUGGCAGACCAAACUAAUUAGCUUUGAAGUUUCCUGGAGACAGACUACUCUUGCAUCAUUAUGUGCAACCCACAGGGAUCUCGCUCGGUGAGACAUGCACACCUAUGCCACAUCUUUACAAGUUUCACAAAAACAUAAACAUAUGUUUGGAUGGGUGUCCUUCCCCGCGACCUCGCUGUCUCCAACCCAUCCACAGGUAUUGCA